rnacentral:lncRNA from 1 species
AAUGGAUUGAAUGUUUUUUUGAUUAAUCAAUCUGCUGCAAUUGCAACAGAGGUUUUAUAUACAUCUUAUUACAUACGCAUGCAAUAAACAAAAAUAUUGGAAAUGGCAUCCUUGCUGUCCACAAUGCUGCUGUCAGAGCAUCCAGUGAGACCCUUGCUGUCCAUGACAUGCUAUCACCGAUGCACUGUGAGUGGAGCAUCUUCGAUAGAAGAAGAUGCCUUCCAGUAGAAUAAUCUUUUCAACACUCCCCUUCAAGUUGGAGAGUGUAUGUCAAGAACUCCCAACUUGCGUAACAUGAUUGAGAAUGGCAUCCUUCCCAACGCCUUUGUGAACACAUCUGCUAGUUGCUGUGAGGAAGAGACAUGUUUAGUAACAACGGAACCAUCUUGCACUUUGUCUCUGACAAAGUGACAAUCAUCUCUAUAUGUCUAGUCUGUCCAUGGAAAACUGGGUUAGCAGCUAUGUGUAAAGCUGCUUGAUUAUCACAAUGCAGUGUGGUGCAGUCCCCUGGAUGUGAUAAGUUCAGGUCUUUGAGAAGAUGUCGAAGCCAAGACAAUUCACAACAAGCACCCUUCAUAGCUCUGUAUUCUGCUUCCAGCUGAAGAUAGGGAAACCGUCUUUUGUCUUUUUGAUCUCCAAGAAAUCAAAGAAGAUCCCAAGAAUAUGCAAUAACCAGUGGUAGACCUUCGGGUGAUUAGGCAACCUGCCCAGUCCGAGUCACAAUAAGCUGUCAGAGCUAGAUUGUGAUGUGAGGAAAAAAAAAGGCCCUGACCCGGUGUGCCUUUGAUAUACCUUAGAACACGAAGUGCUGCCUCCAUAUGUGGCUUAGGCCAUGCAUAAACGGCUCAGGACAUGCACCAGAAUGCAAGAAUGUCGGGGCGAGUGAUGUCCAAGUAGAAUCAAAACGCCCAACAAUUCUUCUAUACUGAGACAGAUCUUUAAGCAGUUCCCCUUUGUCUGAAAGCUUCUCAAAUUUUUGUUCCAUUGGGAAGUCCACUGGCCGGCUCCCAAGAGGCCAACGUCCUUCAAAUCUCCAAAGCGUAUUUCCGUUGUGAGAGGGAAAUACCUUUGUGUGAACGUGACACUUCAAAUCCCCAGAAAAUAUUUUCAAAUCUCCGAGAUCUUUGAUUCGAAAACGACUAUGUAGGAAUUUUUAAGAAGAGGAUAUGGCAAGCCAUAUUAUUUCCAGUAAUGACGAUGUCGUCCACAUAAAUUAAAAGGGCUGUGAAUGACUUUUCCUUUUCGAUGAGUAAAAAGGGAGUAAUCGGCUUUGGAUUGUACAAAACCUGCAGUUUGAAUAGCAGUGGAGAAAUUGGCAAACCAUUGACGAGAAGCUUGCUUUAACCAUACAACGACUUGUUGAUGCGACACACUAAACUCUCCCCUGUCGCAGAAGACAGGAGGGGGUGACAUAUAGAUUUCCUCAUGAAGACCGCCAUGCAGAAAUGCGUUAUUAACGUCUAGUUGGUGAAGGGACCAAUUUUGAGCAGAAGCAAAGCUCACAGACAGCGAACAAUAGUCAUUUUAGCUGUAGGUGAAAAAGUAUCAUGGUAAUCAAUGCUUCCAUCUGAGUGUAGCCCUUGGCACCAAACGCGCUUUGUAACGCUCAAAAUGUUCCAUCAGAACGCCGUUUGACUUAAAAGACCCAUCUGUGCAAAACCAAUACAUGAAUUUUUCCAGGAGGAAGAGAAGUAACAAAAUCCCCGUGUGUGAUUUAUCUGGCCUUCUGUCAGACGCCCGUGGUUCGAUUUACUUGCGGCACUGACCGAAAUCUGGUGGGCAGCUGGAAUGUGUCAGUUGGCUGCCUAUCAUGAGUAACAGCAUAGCAUGGUAAGCACGAGGUAAGUUAGGCCGCUACCCAGGCCUUCCUAAUGCGAGCGAUGCGAACUGCUCAGGGGAAAGAUGAAUUAAUCAUUGGAGGGGAGAGGAAUUUAGAGGUCAGGGGGAGGUGAAUGGGAGGUGGUGAAAUGAUCUGAAAAGAAGAUUCAAGGGAUGAGGUGAAAUAGAGGAAGGGAGGGAUGGUGAAGUAGACGGUGGAUUAGACGGUUCUAGAGUGGAUGGAGAAGGAAUAGGAUCGACAAUGGGGUAAAAAGGCAUGUUUGUAUGUGGUGUUACCGUGGGAGAAGUUGCAAGGGCUGAAAUGGUAGGUAUUGUUCAUGAAAAAUGACGUCCGGUUCGUAAAUCUGUUUUGUUGUUAAAUCAUAAGUUUGUUGCCUUUUGGCCGAAAGGAUAACCAAGAAACACAACCGAACGUCCGAGCUCGGGCAUGCAACUUAUGAGAAACUGUACAUUGGUCGCAUAGGCAGAAGAUCCAAACACACGUAUGUGAGAAAAGGUGGAGGUUUGGCAUGAAAGUAGUUCAUAAGGGGUUUGUAAUGGAGAAGACGGAGUUUCGAAGUGAUUAUAAGGGGUACAGUGGUAAAUGGAGAAAGGAGAAAAAAGAAUGAAUCCGCUGUGUUUAACCCCAUGGAGGGAAUAUUACGAUGCGGAAGCGGUUCUCACACAAUACCGCCAAAAAUGUCGAAUGAGGUUGUUAAAGCUUGAAAAUUGUAAAACAGCCAAUGCAUUCAAAAAAUGACGAAGAGGAACUGAGGCAUUUAUCUCACGGGCGACCAUCCGAUUUUGGGUGUUGGUGUUUAUCAGGAACUUAAAAAAUUACCUCACACUACCUUAUCUUAGCAGGAGGAAUUCACAAUUAUGAAAUCAAACCAAAAUUGUUUAAAUAAAUUGGAACCAAAAAGAACAUAAGGAAGACCAUGUUUGUUCUUGGUAUGAAUCAACAUAUUGGCUUUAAGAUAAUGAUUCAAAAGCAAGACUAUCUUGGACCCCAAAUGUCCCAGAGAUGAAAAGAGGAUUCAGCAAGACAUUUGAGGGAAAGGUCGACAAGUUGCUAUGUGAACAUACAGAUGCCGGUUAGUGGAUGGAGGUGCCGAAAGUGGAGUUUCAAGGAGUGCCAAGCCUAUCUGUAAAAAAAAAAUCAAUCUAGCCUGGACGCUUGUUUCCACUAAGUGAUGCAAAGAGUGGAAUGAGGAAGUUUUAAUCUGUUCGUGUAUACUGAAUAACCAAGAAAAUUACAAUAAACAUAGCCAUCUUGAACAGGUUAUUGGGGAAUGAGGGACGUCUGUGAAGCUGGAGAAUAAUCGCCAUGGCACUGAGUGACCUUGAUAAAUUAGUGGCAGUGAUAGCGGGAACUGUGGGGAACUGAUGUGCAUCAUAUGAAUGAUGGAAGAUACAACUAGGAAUUGUUGCGAGAAGUUCGAAGCAGGCAAUUGAUGAAAGGCCGUAGGUGCUUGGUUAUGGCGUUUUAAUUGUUGGAAGAGUUCUUAAGGGCUCCAAAUGGAAAGACAACUGAAGUUACAGUGAGUGUAGGGCCUGUUUGCAGUAUACACUGAUGCCCAAACGUCCAAAUUUUGCUACGAUCACAGAUGGAGGUGGAUAGGGUUUCCUAGCUGGCUGUCAUAAUCAACAUGUCCUGCGGCGGCACCAUAAUGCAUGAGGAAGUUGAAACAGGUGCCAACCAAUUGGAGUUUUUCUCAUCACAACACAAACCAGACUCUGAUGACCUCCGCAUUGUGACCUUUAUACAAGUUCAACAUUUACACUCUUUACAAAAGUAGUAAAGUUUGGUAGACUAAAUAAUGAGCUUCAACAGAAAUUAGGCAUUGAGUGAAAAAAAAAUAUGUUUUGUUGUUGAAUUUGAUAAAGUUAUCAGUGGUGCCAUUAAUUGUAUGGAUUAUGCUCAGAGGCCCAGGUACAGCGAAUGCAGUUCUGCCCCAUUGGUGGUAUUGUGUUGGCAGAACUUCCAUGGCGUUGUUGCGUCACACUGUUGUUCCCACGUCCACACCUCUGUUGCUACGAUGAAGAAUGUUCGGGAGGGUAUCCGUGCAGUUGUAGCAUGCAUCAAUGUAUAGGUGGGCGGUGUCACAAAUAAGUGCAGUGGAGUUGUCUACGGGAAGAUGAGCUGUUCAAGGUCAGUUGCGACGACUGCUGCCAUGGACGAACUGCCAUUGCUGAUACCUCUGCAGCUUCACGUGAAUCGCUUACAUCGCGCUGUUUUUUCUUGCUGGACAAUCAUGGAAUACACUGAACGCACAGAGGGCAAUGGUUUCAUCAUCAGAAUGUUGCCUCGCGCAGCACCAUAAGACUCGUUGAGGCCCAUGAGGAAUUGCAUCAAUCUGGUUUUCUCCGCUUGAUCGCCUUGCUUCUUUAAAGCACCACAGGUGCAAGACUCAUGAUCAUUGUAGGAUGCAAGUUCAUCCCACAAACUCUUUAGUUUGGUAUAGUAAGCAAGCAGCAACAGAUAAUUGAUCCUGAGAAAUAGAAGCUAUUUCUCGUUGAAUUUGAUAAAUUAUGGGUGCAUUACCCUUGGCUGAAACGAUCUUCAAGAUCCUGCCAAAUCGCGCUUGGGGUGUGGUGUAGUAGACAAUGCUAUCAUGGAUAGUCUGCUCAACUGAAUUCAAGAUCCAGGAAACGAUCAUGUCGUUGCAGCGUUUCGUUCCAGGAAGCAAAAUCAUUCGGUUUCGUCUUUUCAUCAGGAGCUUCCAGUGUUACCAUCCACAAAACCCAGCUUGUUCUUAGCACUCAGAGAGAAAGCUUUAACAGAACGACACCAAGUGGAGUAGUUGUCUCCGUUGAGAAGUUUGGAGACAGACCAAUGAACCAUCGCUGGAUGGUCGGAAAUGAAAAAAGGACUGGAAAUGUUGGAUUUAUUUCCAUCCAAACUCUGUUCGUCACCCAUGAAAGAACAACGACAGAGAAGAAAAAAAAAUGUAGAAAAAGAUGCAGCGGGAAGAAGCUAAGGGUCUGCUUGAAUUAACCUUGCUCUUAAUACCAUAUAAAAUGGAUUGAAUGUUUUUUUUAUUAAUCAAUCUGAUGCAAUUGCAACAGAGGUUUUAUAUACAUCUUAUUACAUACGCAUGCAAUAAACAAAAAUAUUGGAAAUGGCAUCCUUGCUGUCCACAAUGCUGCUGUCAGAGCAUCCAUGUGAAGACCCUUGCUGUCCAUGACAUGUUGUCCACGAUGCACUGUGAGUGGAGCAUCUUCGACAGAAGAAGAUGCCUUCCAGUAGAAUAAUCUUUUCAACACUAAUGGCUAUAUAUACACACUUAGGAGGUGUAUUCACUUAGGACUCUUGUAGAGUUUUAAAGACUUAAAGUUUUGAGGUAUUCAAUAAUGAAUUUUAAGGGGUGUAAGUAUUAUAUGCUUUUUAUAGACUUCGUUUGAGCAAUAAGAUUUUUAUUCAAUGUCACAUAUCACUAAAUAAUAUAGAAAGUGAAUAAUUGUACUUGAAAAUAAAAUAUUAAACAUUAUGAAAAUUAACCAUAAAGGUUAAAGCUAACAUUAAAUUAUAAGUAACAUUGAAGUCAAGUAACAUACUUUCCUAGUCUUUGCAAGUUUUCAAUGAUUUUUAUACAUAUUAUAGACAUGUCUUAUAGACAUGCACAGAACUUUCUAUUGAAUUUAUUGAACUCUACAAAGCAUGCGCUCACACAAAAGUCUAAUUUUUUUUAACUCAAUAGAAAAGUCUAUAAAAUUCUAUCAAAGUCAGAGUGUAUAAUAGUCAUUGAAACGUUCAAACUUUUCAAAAAUAUGGAUUGAAUACGGCCACUUGAACAUUACCUUGUGGAGGAAGGAAUCUCCAAAAAAAAAACAAAAAAGUUUUUUAAACAAGACAAUAUUCUCAAUUUUAAUUUAUAAAGAGGGGCAUAUGACCAACGUGUCAUGUCCCCGGGGACUUACUUGUCCCUCCAUUUACAAUUAACGAAUUUUUACUAUUCGUACAUCAUAAUCAAAAUCGUUCAUUCUUUUUAUCUUCAUCUAAAAAUAACAUAUGCAAAAAGUUAUUCAAUUUGAAAAUUUUUCAUUCAUUUGUAUACAUAAAAACAAAUCGAUAGUUCAUCAUGAAAAUGCUAUUUGUUAUUGAAAUUGUUGAAUGAUUUAACCUAUAUGGAUGAUCACUAAACGAUCUCCAAAUUGAAUGAUUUUUUUUUGUAGAUAUAAUAUUUAGAUGAUGAUCAAAAGAAUGAGUGAUUACCAAUAUAAUGUUUAGGUAGUAAACGUUCAUUAAUCGUAAGUGGAGAACAAAUAUGUCUUCGUAGAAGGACACAAGCAUUAUUCUUAUAUAUAAUUAAACUCACUUUUUCUAUUUUUUUUUUAGGAAAACUAAUGAAAAUGGGUUGAAAACUUUGAGUUUUAAUGAUAAGGACAAAAUAAACGGUAAAGUGAAUAGUAUCAGAAUUGACUUUUUAGUGUAAAAAUGUAGUUUUUCGUUAAAGUGAACAGUACCAAGAGCUUUUCGUUAAAGUUUCCUUUUUUUUUAUCAAGAUAAACUUUUCUUUAUCAAAGGGUUUAGGAGCGGAGUUGUAUGCUUGAGGUUUUAUUUUUGUGUUUGUUUGUGUCCUCAAUAAUAAAGUUAACUAAAGGUUUUUUUAUUAGAGAAAAGUAUUGUAGAAGCUUUUGAUUAAAAUUCUCUAAUUAUAUGUUUCUUUCUUUGACAAAUAAUAUAUAAUUUACAUUAAAUUUAUCUAAGUUAAAGAGAGUGGAGUUCGAACUUGGGAUGCAGGGAGUUGAAGAAGAAGACCUAUCUACUAGAGCAAUCCACCACUUACCUCUAAUCAUAUGUAUGUCACUAUGCCCCUUAGGGAAAAGACAACGUUAUUCAAGAAAGGAACCCGUAUCCUAUUAUCCAUGACAUGAAAAUUUAGAGAAAUCAUUCAUUGAGAUAUUUUUUGAUGUACUUGGAACACAAUAGAUAUAUCAUGUGUCAUAAUAUAAGUAGGAAGAAACAAAAAAAUAAAUAUAUAACUACUUUCCGGUUAUAUCAUGAUACGUGGUGUACUUGCUUAUAUUCCGAGUACAUAGAAAAACUUCUCUCAUUUAUAUCCCUUAGAUUCGCUAUUGAAUUCCAUUUUUUUUUUGUCUAUCUAAGUUGUUCCUUACAAAUAG